rnacentral:tRNA from 1 species
UGGGGUGUAGCCAAGGCAGGCAAGGCAACGGGUUUUGGUCCCGUCAUUCGAGGGUUCGAAUCCUUCCGCCCCAGCCA